rnacentral:rRNA from 1 species
GGGGUAAAAACUCCGGUGGUACAGGAUGGACCCGCGUCUGAUUAGCUGGUUGGUGAGGUAACGGCUCACCAAGGCGACGAUCAGUAGCCGGCUUGAGAGAGUGAACGGCCACAUUGGGACUGAGACACGGCCCAAACUCCUACGGGAGGCAGCAGUGGGGAAUAUUGCACAAUGGGGGGAACCCUGAUGCAGCGACGCCGCGUGAGUGAAGAAGUAUCUCGGUAUGUAAAGCUCUAUCAGCAGGGAAGAAAAUGACGGUACCUGACUAAGAAGCCCCGGCUAACUACGUGCCAGCAGCCGCGGUAAUACGUAGGGGGCAAGCGUUAUCCGGAAUUACUGGGUGUAAAGGGUGCGUAGGUGGUAUGGCAAGUCAGAAGUGAAAACCCAGGGCUUAACUCUGGGACUGCUUUUGAAACUGUCAGACUGGAGUGCAGGAGAGGUAAGCGGAAUUCCUAGUGUAGCGGUGAAAUGCGUAGAUAUUAGGAGGAACAUCAGUGGCGAAG